rnacentral:rRNA from 1 species
GAUGAACGCUGGCGGCGUGCCUAAUACAUGCAAGUCGAGCGAACGGACGAGAAGCUUGCUUCUCUGAUGUUAGCGGCGGACGGGUGAGUAACACGUGGAUAACCUACCUAUAAGACUGGGAUAACUUCGGGAAACCGGAGCUAAUACCGGAUAAUAUUUUGAACCGCAUGGUUCAAAAGUGAAAGACGGUCUUGCUGUCACUUAUAGAUGGAUCCGCGCUGCAUUAGCUAGUUGGUAAGGUAACGGCUUAACAAGGCAACGAUGCAUAGCCGACCUGAGAGGGUGAUCGGCCACACUGGAACUGAGACACGGUCCAGACUCCUACGGGAGGCAGCAGUAGGGAAUCUUCCGCAAUGGGCGAAAGCCGGACGGAGCAACGCCGCGUGAUUGAUGAAGGUCUUCGGAUCUUAAAACUCUUUUAUUAGGGAAGAACAUAUGUGUAAGGAACUGUGCACAUCUUGACGGUACCUAAUCAGAAAGCCACGGCUAACUACGUG